CAGUCGAUAAGUGCUAUUUUCUUACAUUACAUCGAAUUAUUGCUUUUAUUCAAUUGUAUUUUAAAACAGUAAGUGAAAUGGAAAUGAUUGAUAGAUUAGAAAUGUUAGAUAGAUUAUGUGGAAGUCGUUUUGAGAUGAAUAACAGAAAAAAGAAAGACUAUAAAAAUCGAAUCAGUCCGCCGAUGAAGUACGACGACGACUGUGAAGAAGUUGACUCUGACCUGUCCUAUUUAUUGUUUUGUUAUGCUCUUUAUUGUUUUAUCAUUAUAUUCAUUUAUUGUUUGGCGUAUUAUAUUUUUGUUUAGGAGAUGGCUUACUUCCACGUUC
rnacentral:lncRNA from 1 species